ensembl:snoRNA
GGGUGAUAUGAUGUCAUACCAUCUUUCGGGACUGACUCUUAAUGGAGAGAUUCUUUUAUUUUUACUGAUCACCA